GAACUCUGGUAUUGAUUGGUGCUUGCAUCAUGAUUUACAUUUGAGUGAGUGGCGAACUGGUGAGUAACACGUGGGAAACCUGCCCAGAAGCGGGGGAUAACACCUGGAAACAGAUGCUAAUACCGCAUAACAACUUGGACCGCAUGGUCCGAGCUUGAAAGAUGGCUUCGGCUAUCACUUUUGGAUGGUCCCGCGGCGUAUUAGCUAGAUGGUGGGGUAACGGCUCACCAUGGCAAUGAUACGUAGCCGACCUGAGAGGGUAAUCGGCCACAUUGGGACUGAGACACGGCCCAAACUCCUACGGGAGGCAGCAGUAGGGAAUCUUCCACAAUGGACGAAAGUCUGAUGGAGCAACGCCGCGUGAGUGAAGAAGGGUUUCGGCUCGUAAAACUCUGUUGUUAAAGAAGAACAUAUCUGAGAGUAACUGUUCAGGUAUUGACGGUAUUUAACCAGAAAGCCACGGCUAACUACGUGCCAGCAGCCGCGGUAAUACGUAGGUGGCAAGCGUUGUCCGGAUUUAUUGGGCGUAAAGCGAGCGCAGGCGGUUUUUUAAGUCUGAUGUGAAAGCCUUCGGCUCAACCGAAGAAGUGCAUCGGAAACUGGGAAACCUUGAGUGCAGAAGAGGACAGUKGAACUCCAUGUGUAGCGGUGAAAUGCGUAGAUAUAUGGAAGAACACCAGUGGCGAASGCGGCUGUCUGGUCUGUAACUGACGCUGAGGCUCGAAAGUAUGGGUAGCAAACAGGAUUAGAUACCCUGGUAGUCCAUACCGUAAACGAUGAAUGCUAAGUGUUGGAGGGUUUCCGCCCUUCAGUGCUGCAGCUAACGCAUUAAGCAUUCCGCCUGGGGAGUACGGCCGCAAGGCUGAAACUCAAAGGAAUUGACGGGGGCCCGCACAAGCGGUGGAGCAUGUGGUUUAAUUCGAAGCUACGCGAAGAACCUUACCAGGUCUUGACAUACUAUGCAAAUCUAAGAGAUUAGACGUUCCCUUCGGGGACAUGGAUACAGGUGGUGCAUGGUUGUCGUCAGCUCGUGUCGUGAGAUGUUGGGUUAAGUCCCGCAACGAGCGCAACCCUUAUUAUCAGUUGCCAGCAUUAAGUUGGGCACUCUGGUGAGACUGCCGGUGACAAACCGGAGGAAGGUGGGGAUGACGUCAAAUCAUCAUGCCCCUUAUGACCUGGGCUACACACGUGCUACAAUGGAUGGUACAACGAGUUGCGAACUCGCGAGAGUAAGCUAAUCUCUUAAAGCCAUUCUCAGUUCGGAUUGUAGGCUGCAACUCGCCUACAUGAAGUCGGAAUCGCUAGUAAUCGCGGAUCAGCAUGCCGCGGUGAAUACGUUCCCGGGCCUUGUACACACCGCCCGUCACACCAUGAGAGUUUGUAACACCCAAAGUCGGUGGGGUAACCU
rnacentral:rRNA from 1 species